rnacentral:rRNA from 1 species
GAUGAACGCUGGCGGCGUGCCUAAUACAUGCAAGUCGAGCGAACAGACGAGGAGCUUGCUCCUCUGACGUUAGCGGCGGACGGGUGAGUAACACGUGGAUAACCUACCUAUAAGACUGGGAUAACUUCGGGAAACCGGAGCUAAUACCGGAUAAUAUAUUGAACCGCAUGGUUCAAUAGUGAAAGACGGUUUUGCUGUCACUUAUAGAUGGAUCCGCGCCGCAUUAGCUAGUUGGUAAGGUAACGGCUUACCAAGGCAACGAUGCGUAGCCGACCUGAGAGGGUGCUCGGCCACACUGGAACUGAGACACGGUCCAGACUCCUACGGGAGGCAGCAGUAGGGAAUCUUCCGCAAUGGGCGAAAGCCUGACGGAGCAACGCCGCGGGAGUGAUGAAGGUCUGCGGAUCGUAAAACUCUGUUAUUAGGGAAGAACAAAUGUGUAAGUAACGAUGCACGUCUUGACGGUACCUAAUCAGAAAGCCACGGCUAACUACGU